GUUCCUAAUCGUUUAUGUGUAUUAUUAUGUACACAUCUGUCCUUUAAUUGAACUUUGUCUUAUCUUAUUUUGUUGAACGUUUAUCUUCAGAGUGUUGCUCUAAAAAUUUGUCUACUUCAAAGCUAUAUAUCUUAUUCAGUCGAUCUCUACUAAUUGUGCUUGUUGAGUAAUAUUUGAGUGAAUAGUAUAUGUACACACAUACCAAAGUCUUUAAUUGAUGAGUGAAAUCGUACAGACUCUCAUGGAUAACGAAGAUAAAAAAGCACCACUCAUAGUGGUGUCCAAUAGAUUACCCUUUGUACUAAAAAGGAACGAGGAAGAUGGAUCUCUCAUUCGUAGUUCAAGUGCCGGAGGUCUUGUUACAGCUGUAGCUCCAGUUGUCAUUGCCUGCAAAGGAAUAUGGGUUGGAUGGACAGGUCUGUAUGACUUUAAGGAAGGAAUAGAUGUGAUCCCUGAGUCUUCUCCUGAUGACAAAAAUCCUACUGCUGGUCUGCAAUCUAGUCAAGCCUUUCCAGUGACUGUGGAGCCCAAGCUCUUUGAUGAUUAUUACAAUGGAUGCUGUAAUGGAAUAUUUUGGCCUUUAUUUCAUUCGAUGCCUGAUCGUGCAGUUUUUGAAAUAGCUUUUUGGAAGGCCUACACUAAGGUCAACAAAGCUUUUGCAAUGACCACUAUGAAUGCCAUCCGGAAAGUGAAUCAAGAAAGAAUGAAAGUACCGGAGAAUAAACGCUGUCCUAGUCCUAUUGUAUGGCUACACGACUAUCAUUUGAUGAAAGCAGCAAACAUAAUUCGUGAUACUUGCAAAGAUGAGGGCAUUGAGAUUCGAAUGGCUUUUUUCCUUCAUAUUCCCUUUCCAACAUUCGAUAUUCUUCGUAUUUGUCCUUGGGUUGAUGAAAUACUCAUGGGAGUUUUAGGCUGUGAUUUAGUCGGCUUUCAUAUUGAUGACUACUGCAUCAAUUUCUUAGACUGUUGUCAAAGAUGCCUUGGACUUCGAACGAGUAGUAACAAAAUGUGGGUCGAACAUAUUGGACGAGUUAUCCAUGUAAAGCCUUUACCUAUUGGCAUCCCGUAUACAAAUUUUGAAAACCUUUCAAAAAUUGCUCCUCCCAUCUAUCAACCUGGUGAAACCAAAAUUAUCCUUGGUGUCGAUCGAUUGGAUUAUACAAAAGGCCUCGUUGCACGUCUGAAAGCCCUAGUUCGUCUUUUUGAGAAAUAUCCUAAAUGGAUUACCAAAGUUAUUUUAGUUCAGAUUGCUGUUCCUUCAAGAACCGAAGUCCUUGAAUAUCAAGAACUAAAAAAACAAAUUGAUAUCCUUGUUGGACAAAUUAAUGGGGAUUAUAGUACUGCUUCUUGGGCUCCUAUACGGUACAUCUACUCUUCAAUGCCACAACAUGAACUUGUUGGAUUCUAUCGUGAUGCUAGAGUUGCUCUUGUUACCCCACUCCGUGAUGGAAUGAACCUUGUCGGAAAAGAAUUUGUAGCAUCUCAAAAAGAUGCUGAUCCUGGUGUACUUAUUCUGAGUCCAUUUGCUGGAGCAGGGAAUAUUAUGCACGAAGCUCUCAUGGCUAAUCCCUACGAGAGUGACAAUGUUGCUGAUACUAUUAAUAGAGCUCUAGAAAUGCCUUUAGAUGAAAGACAACUCCGUAUGAAUCAAUUAAAGAAAAGGGAGAAAAAGAUGGAUGUCGAUGCUUGGGUAAAAAUGUUUCUCUUAGAAAUGGAUAAUGUUGAAAAUAAAGUGUUGACAUACCCCAAAACAAUGGACGAUUUGAUGGAGGAUAUGUUUGAGUUUGAAGACCGUCUUGGUCCAUAUGUAGAGAUGUCGACUAAACUUGGUAUUAUACUGGAUUUCGAUGGAACUCUUUCAUGUCUGGCCCGUACUCCUGGUCUUGCCAUGAUGGCACCUGAAACAAAAAAAGUUUUAGAGCGAUUUUCUAACAUGAGCGAUGUUCACAUUGCUAUUAUUUCUGGCAGGAGUCUAGAGGAUCUUCGCCAUAAAGUCGGUGUAGAAAAGAUUACAUAUGCUGGUAAUCAUGGAUUGGAGAUUAUGCACCCUGAUGGACAUACUUUCAGUCAAUCUGUACCUCAGGACUACAAGGAUAGGCUUUCAAAACUUAAAGAUGAAUUAACAGAGGAAGUCACAAAGUAUGGUGCUUGGGUUGAGGAUAAGGAUCUUUUGAUGGCAUGGCAUUAUCGUGAAGUUGACUAUGAUAAAAGAGCUGCUUUAAUUAAUCAAGCAAAAAAGUAUUUAUGCAAGACAUAAUUUUACAAUCUCUGAAGUUUCUAAAAGACUUGAAAAUAAUCCUCCAUGUGGUUGGGAUCGUGGAAGUACUUGCAUUCAAAUUCUCAGAACUAUAUUUGGUGUAGAUUGGGAAGAGAGAGUUAAGGUGAUUUAUGCUGGUGAUUCAACUGCUGACGAAAUAGCAAUUGAACGUCUUAAAGGUGUUGCCUAUACGUUCAGAGUAAAUAACGAGGAUUCAAAUGUAAUUACUAAAACAUCUGCCGAUUUCCGGAUUAAUGGAACGGAUGGAGUUCUUAAACUACUCAAGUUCUUAGAAAGAAGACUGCUUGGGCGAUCAAGAAGAACAUCUGCUCAAUCUGUGGAAAGAGAGCUGGACAUUAAUGAUUUGACAAUCACUGAGGGAAAGGAAUUGGGGUACAUUUCUCCAAAGCAUAACCGUUCUCGAAGCAACAGUUUCAAUAGCUCUAUGCGACGUCGCACAGCCUCAACAGGAGCAAUGAACCCAAGUCUAUGCAAGGCCACUCUUGCAAAAACACAUCAUACUCGAAUAAAUCAGGAAAAACCUCCUCAUCCUUAAGGGUAUCAGCGGAUAAUCCGAUCAAUCUAUUAUUUUGUAAAUACUCUUGUGGAAUAAUCAAUAGAUAACUCUUAUCGUAAUCGAUUCAUAUGUUUAAUUUUCUACUUAUAAGCUUUUGCUAUUGACAUGAAAUAAAUGUAUGAUACUAGAAA
rnacentral:misc_RNA from 1 species